UACGUAGGGCGCGAGCGUUGUCCGGAUUUAUUGGGCGUAAAGAGCUCGUAGGCGGCUUGUCGCGUCGACUGGUGAAAACCCGCGGCUCAACUGCGGGCUUGCAGCCGAUACGGGCAGGCUAGAGUUCGGUAGGGGAGACUGGAAUUCCUGGUGUAGCGGUGAAAUGCGCAGAUAUCAGGAGGAACACCGGUGGCGAAGGCGGGUCUCUGGGCCGAUACUGAC
rnacentral:rRNA from 1 species